CAUUAUGUUUUCAUUAUCAACUAUAAUAACAAUAAUUGUUCUGGCAAACGUUGUAUUGCCACGCAGUAGGCUAGGCCACUUAGUCGCCGUGACAUCUGUGUCAUAUAUUUGAUAUUUUACAAGCUCAAUAUUGACAAGAAAAAUAAUUGGGUGACCCAAGUAUUUCGCAGGAUGCUUUCUUGCAUUGGCUGCAUAUGGGUUACAUUAGAUAAGAUAAGGUUGCAUGUUUGAUCACUGCGCUAUUUGGCACAAGGAACAAUUGUGUCAGACGCAAGAUGCGUCACAAGUGCAAUUUUAUCGGAAUUUAAAGAGAUAUCCAGCACUAGUAGAACAAGUUGAGAGGUGCAUAUUAUAUUUAAAAACAGAAACUUGUCGAGAAAUGGACGGAGAAAUGUCACUAGCGCAUUCGAAGAAUUGGAUACAACUAUAAGACAUUGACCGCAGAAUUUAAUAAGACGUACCAGGGAAGAGCAUCGCAUAGAAAUCAACUUCAAUUCCAAUGAAAGCAGGAAAAAUCAAGACACGUGAACUUCGCAUGAAUUUUAGCGCAAACACCCAUUCCAAGGCCCGCUUUCUCCCCCGUGCUCCAACAGAUCACUUCAACGUGACCACAUCAAAAAUGUUCCAAUUUGCCGCCAACGAAGACCACAAAAACAUCUUCAUUUAUGUAUCAUGUUAAACCUGCGAAUAAGAGCAAUAAACUUUAUAAUGUGUUGGUUUGGCUUUUGGACUAUUGUUUUCAAUUAAACAAAUAAAGAAAAAUGAAAAUUUG